rnacentral:rRNA from 1 species
UACGCAGGCGGAAAAUUAAGUCAGUGGUGAAAUCCUGCAGCUUAACUGUAGGACUGUCAUUGAUACUGGUUUUCUUGAAUAUAGUUGAGGUAGGCGGAAUGUGUAAUGUAGCGGUGAAAUGCUUAGAUAUUACACAGAACACCGAUUGCGAAGGCAGCUUACUAAGCUAUGAUUGACGCUGAGGUACGAAAGCGUGGGGAGCGAACAGGAUUAGAUACCCUGGUAGUCC